rnacentral:rRNA from 1 species
UACGGAGGAUGCAAGCGUUAUCCGGAAUCAUUGGGCGUAAAGCGUCCGUAGGUGGCAGUGCCAGUCGGUUGUCAAAGGGCAGGGCUUAACCCUGUCAAGGCAGCGGAAACUGCACAGCUAGAGAGAGGUAGGGGUAGAGGGAAUUCCCGGUGUAGCGGUGAAAUGCGUAGAGAUCGGGAAGAACACCGGUGGCGAAAGCGCUCUACUGGACCUCAUCUGACACUGAGGGACGAAAGCUAGGGGAG